rnacentral:rRNA from 1 species
UACGUAGGUGACAAGCGUUAUCCGGAAUUACUGGGCGUAAAGCGCACGCAGGCGGUGGCGUAAGUCUGAUGUGAAAUCUCCUGGCUUAACUGGGAGGGGUCAUUGGAAACUGCGGUACUUGAGGCGAUGAGAGGGGUGUAGAAUUCCCGGUGUAGUGGUGGAAUGCGUAGAUAUCGGGAGGAAUACCAGUGGCGAAAGCGACACCCUGGCAUUAGCCUGACGCUCAUGUGCGAAGGCGUGGGGAGCGAACGGG